rnacentral:rRNA from 1 species
AUUGAACGCUGGCGGCAGGCCUAACACAUGCAAGUCGAGCGGAUGAGAGGAGCUUGCUUCUCGAUUCAGCGGCGGACGGGUGAGUAAUGCCUAGGAAUCUGCCUGGUAGUGGGGGACAACGUUUCGAAAGGAACGCUAAUACCGCAUACGUCCUACGGGAGAAAGCAGGGGACCUUCGGGCCUUGCGCUAUCAGAUGAGCCUAGGUCGGAUUAGCUAGUUGGUGAGGUAAUGGCUCACCAAGGCGACGGUGCGUAACUGGUCUGAGAGGAUGAUCAGUCACACUGGAACAGAGAGACGGUCCAGACUCCUACGGGAGGCAGGAGUGGGGAAUAUUGGACAGUGGGCGAAAGCCGUAUCCAGACAUGCCGGGUGUGUGAAGAAGGGCUUCGGAUUGUAAAGCACUUUAAGUGGGGAGGAAGGGUUGUAGAUUAAUACUCUGCAAUUUUGACGUUACCGACAGAAUAAGCACCGGCUAACUCUGUGCCAGCCGCCGCCGUAACAC